rnacentral:rRNA from 1 species
GACGAACGCUGGCGGCGUGCCUAAUACAUGCAAGUUGAGCGCUGAAGGUUGGUACUUGUACCAACUGGAUGAGCAGCGAACGGGUGAGUAACGCGUGGGGAAUCUGCCUUUGAGCGGGGGACAACAUUUGGAAACGAAUGCUAAUACCGCAUAAAAACUUUAAACACAAGUUUUAAGUUUGAAAGAUGCAAUUGCAUCACUCAAAGAUGAUCCCGCGUUGUAUUAGCUAGUUGGUGAGGUGAAGGCUCACCAAGGCGAUGAUACAUAGCCGACCUGAGAGGGUGAUCGGCCACAUUGGGACUGAGACACGGCCCAAACUCCUACGGGAGGCAGCAGUAGGGAAUCUUCGGCAAUGGACGAAAGUCUGACCGAGCAACGCCGCGUGAGUGAAGAAGGUUUUCGGAUCGUAAAACCCUGUUGGUAGAGAAGAACGUUGGUGAGAGUGGAAAGCUCAUCAAGUGACGGUAACUACCCAGAAAGGGACGGCUAACUACGUG